CCCCAGAAGUUACUGGCUCCUUAUCUUCUUCCAUUUCCUGCAAACUUUUGGGCGUUAUGAGUCUAUCAGCACAGAAAACCAGGUGAUCACUCAUUGGAAUUUGAUUGGGAAGCCCUGGAAAUGCGAAACAAGAAAAUAAUAGAAGACGCUAUUGGGUUGUGGGUAAAUAGCUUUUGAAAGAAAAGAAACAAGAAAACAAAACGCGCUUCUGAGUCUGGUUUUCUUCUCGGCUGGUGU
rnacentral:misc_RNA from 1 species